rnacentral:rRNA from 1 species
UACGUAGGCAGCAAGCGUUGUUCGGAAUUACUGGGCGUAAAGAGUGUGUAGGCGGUGUCGUAAGUUUGGUGUGAAAUCUCCCGGCUUAACUGGGAGGGUGCGCCGAAGACUGCGAUGCUGGAGUAUGGGAGAGGAAAGCGGAAUUCCUGGUGUAGCGGUGAAAUGCGUAGAUAUCAGGAGGAACACCUGCGGUGUAGACGGCUUUCUGGACCAUUACUGACACUGAGACACGAAAGCGUGGGUAGCAAACAGG